rnacentral:rRNA from 1 species
UACAGAGGUCUCAAGCGUUGUUCGGAUUCAUUGGGCGUAAAGGGCGCGUAGGCUGCGGGGCAAGUCGGGUGUGAAAUCUCAGAGCUCAACUCUGAAACUGCACUCGAUACUGCUUUGCUUGAGGACUGGAGAGGAGAUUGGAAUUCACGGUGUAGCAGUGAAAUGCGUAGAUAUCGUGAGGAAGACCAGUGGCGAAGGCGGAUCUCCGUGGA